rnacentral:rRNA from 1 species
GAUGAAUGCUGGCGGCGUGCCUAAUACAUGCAAGUCGAGCGAACGGACGAGAAGCUUGCUUCUCUGAUGUUAGCGGCGGACGGGUGAGUAACAAGUGGAUAACCAACCUAUCAGACUGGGAUAACUUCGGGAAACCGCAGCUAAUAACGGAUAAUAUUUUGAACCGCCCGGUACAAUAGUGCAAGAAGGUCUUGCUGAAACUUAUAGAUGGCUCCGCGCUGCAUUAGCUAGUUGGUAAGGUAACGGCUUACCAAGGCAACGAUGCAUAGCCGACCUGCGAGUGUGAUCGGCCACACUGUAAGUGGUACACGGACCAUACUCCCUCGGAAGGCCACAGUAGGGUAUCCUCCGCAGUAGGCGAAAGCCUGACGGAUCGCCGGCGCGCGUGUAAUGAAGGUCUUCGGAUCGUAAAACUCUGUUAUUAGGGAAGAACAUAUGUGUAAGUAGCUGUGCACAUCUUGACAGUACCUAGUCAGAAAACCGCAGCUAACUACGUG